rnacentral:rRNA from 2 species
AGAGUUUGAUCCUGGCUCAGGACGAACGCUGGCGGCGUGCCUAAUACAUGCAAGUCGAACGAACUCUGGUAUUGAUUGGUGCUUGCAUCAUGAUUUACAUUUGAGUGAGUGGCGAACUGGUGAGUAACACGUGGGAAACCUGCCCAGAAGCGGGGGAUAACACCUGGAAACAGAUGCUAAUACCGCAUAACAACUUGGACCGCAUGGUCCGAGUUUGAAAGAUGGCUUCGGCUAUCACUUUUGGAUGGUCCCGCGGCGUAUUAGCUAGAUGGUGAGGUAACGGCUCACCAUGGCAAUGAUACGUAGCCGACCUGAGAGGGUAAUCGGCCACAUUGGGACUGAGACACGGCCCAAACUCCUACGGGAGGCAGCAGUAGGGAAUCUUCCACAAUGGACGAAAGUCUGAUGGAGCAACGCCGCGUGAGUGAAGAAGGGUUUCGGCUCGUAAAACUCUGUUGUUAAAGAAGAACAUAUCUGAGAGUAACUGUUCAGGUAUUGACGGUAUUUAACCAGAAAG